ACGCUCGACACCUACGGAGCAGCAGUUAGGAAUAUUGGGCAAUGGAGGAAACUCUGACCCAGCAACGCCGCGUGAAGGAAGAAGGUUUUCGGAUUGUAAACUUCUGAUCUAGGGGAAGAAGGAAGUGACGGUACCCUAGGAGAAAGCCACGGCUAACUACGUGCCAGCAGCCGCGGUAAUCUGAGGCGGGCUGGCAAGGC
rnacentral:rRNA from 1 species